GUCGGGAAACGCGGAGGAGCCGGGGAAGAGGGGGCCGCUGGGCGCACGUCAGCUUUUAUUAAAACACCGGUAGGCUGCAGCACUUGGGAGCCUGGAGUCGGAGGACUGCAGUGAGUUCGAGGCCAGCCUGAGACUGCAUACUGAAUUCCAGGACCCACGCAAGCCAGAUGCACAAGACGGC